CACGCCGUAAACGAUGAGUGCUAAGUGUUAGGGGGUUUCCGCCCCUUAGUGCUGCAGCUAACGCAUUAAGCACUCCGCCUGGGGAGUACGACCGCAAGGUUGAAACUCGAAGGAAUUGACGGGGACCCGCACAAGCGGUGGAGCAUGUGGUUUAAUUCGAAGCAACGCGAAGAACCUUACCAAAUCUUGACAUCCUCUGAUCCCUCUAGAGAUAGAGGUUUCCCCUUCGGGGGACAGAGUGACAGGUGGUGCAUGGUUGUCGUCAGCUCGUGUCGUGAGAUGUUGGGUUAAGUCCCGCAACGAGCGCAACCCUUAAGCUUAGUUGCCAUCAUUAAGUUGGGCACUCUAAGUUGACUGCCGGUGACAAACCGGAGGAAGGUGGGGAUGACGUCAAAUCAUCAUGCCCCUUAUGAUUUGGGCUACACACGUGCUACAAUGGACAAUACAAAGGGCAGCGAAACCGCGAGGUCAAGCAAAUCCCAUAAAGUUGUUCUCAGUUCGGAUUGUAGUCUGCAACUCGACUAUAUGAAGCUGGAAUCGCUAGUAAUCGUAGAUCAGCAUGCUACGGUGAAUACGUUCCCGGGUCUUGUACACACCGCCCGUCACACCACGAGAGUUUGUAACACCCGAAGCCGG
rnacentral:rRNA from 1 species